rnacentral:rRNA from 1 species
AUUGAACGCUGGCGGCAGGCCUAACACAUGCAAGUCGAGCGGAGCGGCGGACGGGCGCGUAAUGCCUAUGAAUCUGCCUGGUAGUGGGGGAUAACGUCCGGAAACGGGCGCUAAUACCGCACACUAUCAGAUGAGCCUAGGCAGGAUUGGCUAGUUGGUGGGGUAAAGGUCUACCAAGGCUACGACCCGUCACUGGUCUGGGAGUAUGAUCAGUCACACUGUAACUGAGACACGGUCCAGCCUCCUACGGGAGGCAGCAGUGGGGAAUAUUGGACAAUGGGCGAAAGCCUGAUCCAGCCAUGACGCGUGUGUGAAGAAGGUCUUCGGAUUGUAAAGCACUAUAAGUUGGGAGGCGUUACCAACAGAAUAAGCACCGGCUAACUUCGUGCCAGCCGCCGCGGUAAUUC